rnacentral:rRNA from 1 species
UUUAUGGAGAGUUUGAUCCUGGCUCAGGAUGAACGCUGGCGGCGUGCCUAAUACAUGCAAGUCGAGCGAACGGAUGAGAAGCUUGCUUCUCUGAUGUUAGCGGCGGACGGGUGAGUAACACGUGGAUAACCUACCUAUAAGACUGGGAUAACUUCGGGAAACCGGAGCUAAUACCGGAUAAUAUUUUGAACCGCAUG